UAACCCCCUAAACUGCAAAAUGAAUGAUUUCCUCCUCUCUGCACCUGGAGGGUCCAGGGCCGGUCUCAGCCUGCGUGAGUCCCUGCCGGGUCACAGCCCCGUAAUUGAGAGUCCCCAGCAGGCCAGUCCUCAGUAGACACUGCUCUGAAUGUCUGCGAGCCACCUGCCAGCGGACGUAUCAGGGCGGUGCCUUUUGAAGUCAUCUGACUGCUCAUCUCUGGGGAAUGCGUCAUCUAUUAGGUGGCGAGUUGAUGCCGGUGUCUAACACAGCACUCUGGAUGGGCUCACCCAGACCAGCGGGAGUUCUCAGCCCUGGCAGCCGGAGGGGAGCGUGGGGGUGCGCACAUCUCCUUGAGUCAGCUUGUGUCCCUGUCAUGCCGGUCAGCAGAGGGGUCCACACAAGCGGAAAGACGCACCAAAGACUCCCCUGCAGAGCAGCGAAAUGAAGGAUCCUCUCCGGUGGGAGUUAACAGCUUCAAAGCUAGAGACAGGAGGCGGCAGUCCUGGCUGCGAGCACUUAGGAACUGUCGGUAACAAAAGUGUGCUGAGCUGUGUCAGGAGGUGGCACACUAAAUCACAAACCAGCCUCAGGAUUUUUCAGAGCCUUUGAAGGAGCCAGUGUCCAGCGCAGAUCUUCAGGAGAGGAUGUAUUUUAACCCAGAUCCCUCCCCCAUCUACCUCUGAUUCCUCUUACGACGGGGAAGGAAGCCAGUUUCCACAGAAUGCUGCGGGGACCCCAGAGCCCAGGGAAAGGGCCGAGACUCGCAUUUCUAGAGCUGAUCGAGAAGGAAACCAUUUAUUGCAUUGGCUCCCGCCUAAAGGAUCGCACUGAGCCGCCUGCAGAGAGAGAAGUGUCUGGGGGCUCCUAG